AUUGAACGCUGGCGGCAGGCCUAACACAUGCAAGUCGAACGAGUGGCGGACGGGUGAGUAAUGUCUGGGAAACUGCCUGAUGGAGGGGGAUAACUACUGGAAACGGUAGCUAAUACCGCAUACCAUCAGAUGUGCCCAGGUGGGAUUAGCUAGUUGGUGGUGUAACGGCUCACCAAGGCGACGAUCCCUAGCUGGUAUGAGAGGAUGACAAGCCAAGCUGGAACUGAGACACGGUCCAGACUACUACGGGCGGCAUCAGUGGGGAAUAUUGCACAAUGUGCGCAAGCCGGAUGCAGCCAUGCCGCGUGUAUGAAGAAGGCCUUCGGGUUGUAAAGUACUUUCAGCGGGGAGGCGUUACCCGCAGAAGAAGCACCGGCUAACUCCGUGCCAGCAGCCGCGGUAAUUC
rnacentral:rRNA from 1 species